rnacentral:rRNA from 1 species
GACGUAGGGCGCGAGCGUUGUCCGGAUUUAUUGGGCGUAAAGAGCUCGUAGGCGGCUCGUUGCGUCGGCUGUGAAAACCCGCAGCUCAACUGUGGGCUUGCGGUCGAUACGGGCAUCACUGGAGUUCGGCAGGGGAGACUGGAAUUCCUGGUGUAGCGGUGAAAUGCGCAGAUAUCAGGAGGAACACCGGUGGCGAAGGCGGGUCUCUGGGCCGAUACUGACGCUGAGGAGCGAAAGCGUGGGGAGCGAACAGG